GUGCAAACUACAAGGAUACUUGCACAUACGUAGAAAUAAAGAAACAAGAAACCAUUCCUCAUGGAACUUAUCAAGAACAACACAAGAGCCCUACUCUUGGUAGCUCUUGUGAUGAUGUCUACCACCCUAUUAUCAUGCCAUGCAGGUUCAACAAAACCAAUCCCCUUGGACUUGUGUGUGCGUUUUGCAAGCUGUGAGAAAGGCCAUGAAUCCGAAGAGGCGUGCAGGAACCACUGCUCAUUUUUCGAAUUCAAAAAAAGCCACUGUAAACCAGACAAUGGUGGUUCUUGCUGCUGCUCUAAUUAAACGACGUAGAAACAAUGGAUGGGUCGUGCUAAUAAAUCGGUGCGUGUAAGAUAGGCUAAGAUACAUGUGCACCAUGGAUCUGUCUAGUUCAUGCAAAAGAUUCAAUAAAGUAUUUAUCAGAAAUUUGACUGUGAUCA